GGGUUGUGAGGUUAAGCGACUAAGCGUACACGGUGGAUGCCCUGGCAGUCAGAGGCGAUGAAGGACGUGCUAAUCUGCGAAAAGCGUCGGUAAGGUGAUAUGAUCCGUUAUAACCGGCGAUGUCCGAAUGGGGAAACCCAGUGCAAUUCGUUGCACUAUCGUUAACUGAAUACAUAGGUUAACGAGGCGAACCGGGGGAACUGAAACAUCUAAGUACCCCGAGGAAAAGAAAUCAACCGAGAUUCCCCCAGUAGCGGCGAGCGAACGGGGAGCAGCCCGGAGUCUGAAUCAGCUUGUGUGUUAGUGGAAGCGUCUGGAAAGUCGCAGGGUACAGGGUGAUACUCCCGUACACUAAAACACACAGGCUGUGAACUCGAAGAGUAGGGCGGGACACGUGGUAUCCUGUCUGAAUAUGGGGGGACCAUCCUCCAAGGCUAAAUACUCCUGACUGACCGAUAGUGAACCAGUACCGUGAGGGAAAGGCGAAAAGAACCCCGGCGAGGGGAGUGAAAAAGAACCUGAAACCGUGUACGUACAAGCAGUAGGAGCCCACUAGUUGGGUGACUGCGUACCUUUUGUAUAAUGGGUCAGCGACUUAUAUUCUGUAGCAAGGUUAACCGUAUAGGGGAGCCGCAGGGAAACCGAGUCUUAACUGGGCGUUAAGUUGCAGGGUAUAGACCCGAAACCCGGUGAUCUAGCCAUGGGCAGGUUGAAGGUUGGGUAACACUAACUGGAGGACCGAACCGACUAAUGUUGAAAAAUUAGCGGAUGACUUGUGGCUGGGGGUGAAAGGCCAAUCAAACCGGGAGAUAGCUGGUUCUCCCCGAAAGCUAUUUAGGUAGCGCCUCGUGAAUUCAUCUUCGGGGGUAGAGCACUGUUUCGGCUAGGGGGUCAUCCCGACUUACCAACCCGAUGCAAACUACGAAUACCGAAGAAUGUUAUCACGGGAGACACACGGCGGGUGCUAACGUCCGUCGUGAAGAGGGAAACAACCCAGACCGCCAGCUAAGGUCCCAAAGUCAUGGUUAAGUGGGAAACGAUGUGGGAAGGCCCAGACAGCCAGGAUGUUGGCUUAGAAGCAGCCAUCAUUUAAAGAAAGCGUAAUAGCUCACUGGUCGAGUCGGCCUGCGCGGAAGAUGUAACGGGGCUAAACCAUGCACCGAAGCUGCGGCAGCGACACUAUGUGUUGUUGGGUAGGGGAGCGUUCUGUAAGCCGUUGAAGGUGGCCUGUGAGGGUUGCUGGAGGUAUCAGAAGUGCGAAUGCUGACAUAAGUAACGAUAAUGCGGGUGAAAAACCCGCACGCCGGAAGACCAAGGGUUCCUGUCCAACGUUAAUCGGGGCAGGGUGAGUCGACCCCUAAGGCGAGGCCGAAAGGCGUAGUCGAUGGGAAACAGGUUAAUAUUCCUGUACUUGGUGUUACUGCGAAGGGGGGACGGAGAAGGCUAUGUUGGCCGGGCGACGGUUGUCCCGGUUUAAGCAUGUAGGCGGAUGUUCCAGGUAAAUCCGGAACGUCACUAACGCUGAGGUGUGAUGACGAGGCACUACGGUGCUGAAGUGACAAAUGCCCUGCUUCCAGGAAAAGCCUCUAAGCAUCAGGUAACAUCAAAUCGUACCCCAAACCGACACAGGUGGUCAGGUAGAGAAUACCAAGGCGCUUGAGAGAACUCGGGUGAAGGAACUAGGCAAAAUGGUGCCGUAACUUCGGGAGAAGGCACGCUGAUGGUAAGUGAAGUGACUUGCUCAUGGAGCUGAAAUCAGUCGAAGAUACCAGCUGGCUGCAACUGUUUAUUAAAAACACAGCACUGUGCAAACACGAAAGUGGACGUAUACGGUGUGACGCCUGCCCGGUGCCGGAAGGUUAAUUGAUGGGGUUAUCCUCACGGAGAAGCUCUUGAUCGAAGCCCCGGUAAACGGCGGCCGUAACUAUAACGGUCCUAAGGUAGCGAAAUUCCUUGUCGGGUAAGUUCCGACCUGCACGAAUGGCGUAAUGAUGGCCAGGCUGUCUCCACCCGAGACUCAGUGAAAUUGAACUCGCUGUGAAGAUGCAGUGUACCCGCGGCAAGACGGAAAGACCCCGUGAACCUUUACUAUAGCUUGACACUGAACACUGGUCCUUGAUGUGUAGGAUAGGUGGGAGGCUUUGAAGUGUGGACGCCAGUCUGCAUGGAGCCGUCCUUGAAAUACCACCCUUUAAUGGCUGGUGUUCUAACGUGGGCCCGUGAUCCGGGUUGCGGACAGUGUCUGGUGGGUAGUUUGACUGGGGCGGUCUCCUCCUAAAGAGUAACGGAGGAGCACGAAGGUCAGCUAAUCCUGGUCGGACAUCAGGAGGUUAGUGCAAUGGCAUAAGCUGGCUUGACUGCGAGCGUGACGGCGCGAGCAGGUGCGAAAGCAGGUCAUAGUGAUCCGGUGGUUCUGAAUGGAAGGGCCAUCGCUCAACGGAUAAAAGGUACUCCGGGGAUAACAGGCUGAUACCGCCCAAGAGUUCAUAUCGACGGCGGUGUUUGGCACCUCGAUGUCGGCUCAUCACAUCCUGGGGCUGAAGUAGGUCCCAAGGGUAUGGCUGUUCGCCAUUUAAAGUGGUACGCGAGCUGGGUUUAGAACGUCGUGAGACAGUUCGGUCCCUAUCUGCCGUGGGCGCUGGAGAAUUGAGGGGGGCUGCUCCUAGUACGAGAGGACCGGAGUGGACGCAUCACUGGUGUUCGGGUUGUCAUGCCAAUGGCAUUGCCCGGUAGCUAAAUGCGGAAGAGAUAAGUGCUGAAAGCAUCUAAGCACGAAACUUGCCCCGAGAUGAGUUCUCCCUGACUCCUUGAGAGUCCUGAAGGAACGUUGAAGACGACGACGUUGAUAGGCCGGGUGUGUAAGCGCAGCGAUGCGUUGAGCUAACCGGUACUAAUGAACCGUGAGGCUUAACCUUACAACGCCGAAG
rnacentral:rRNA from 1 species